rnacentral:rRNA from 1 species
AUUGAACGCUGGCGGCAUGCCUUACACAUGCAAGUCGAACGGCAGCACGGGAGCAAUCCUGGUGGCGAGUGGCGAACGGGUGAGUAAAGUAUCGGAACGUGCCCGGUCGUGGGGGAUAACGUAGCGAAAGUUACGCUAAUACCGCAUACGAUCUAUGGAUGAAAGCGGGGGAUCGCAAGACCUCGCGCGAUUGGAGCGGCCGAUAUCAGAUUAGGUAGUUGGUGGGGUAAAGGAUCACCAAGCCGACGAUCUGUAGCUGGUCUGAGAGGACGACCAGCCACACUGGGACUGAGACACGGCCCAGACUCCUACGGGAGGCAGCAGUGGGGAAUUUUGGACAAUGGGCGGAAGCCUGAUCCAGCCAUGCCGCGUGCAGGAUGAAGGCCUUCGGGUUGUAAACUGCUUUUGUACGGAACGAAAAGGUUUGGCCUAAUAAGCUGAGCUCAUGACGGUACCGUAAGAAUAAGCACCGGCUAACUACGUGCCAGCCGCCGCAGUAA